rnacentral:rRNA from 1 species
AAGAUCGAAUGGGGAGAUUCAUCGUCAGCCGCUUUGGCUUCCGUGUGGUGCGCGAUGAUCGGGACCUCGGUUCCGUGUCACGCGUCCGCUGCGGUAUGUCCGAGGUGGUCGGCGUGCACUUCUCCCCUAGUAGGACGUCGCGACCCGUUGGGUGCCGGCCUACGGCCCGGUUGGUCGACUGGCGCGUCGCGUUCACGCGUGUACGCGUCAGACCACUGGAUGCCCGGCCUGCUGCCCGGCGGUAUAGAAUCAUCAUUGAACGGUAUUGGGCCGCAUUAAGUGCGUUCAGGCUCGUCGGCAGGCUCGCCUCGCCCGGAUUUACGGACCUAGCGCCGUUGCCGGGUGCUUGGCGCGGCCGUUAGUCGACGAUGUCCUCGGACUGGCUCUAUUUAUAUUCGAACGGAUAUACCGGUCGGCGACGCUACUGCUUUGGGUACUUUCAGGACCCGUCUUGAAACACGGACCAAGGAGUCUAACAUGUGCGCGAGUCAUUGGGACUUGUUUUAAGCCUAAAGGCGUAAUGAAAGUGAAGGUCGUCCUUAGCGUCGACCGAGGGAGGAUGGCUCGCGUCACGAUGCGAGUCCGCACUCCCGGGGCGUCUCGUGCUCAUUGCGAGCUGAGGCGCACCCAGAGCGUACACGUUGGGACCCGAAAGAUGGUGAACUAUGCCUGGUCAGGACGAAGUCAGGGGAAACCCUGAUGGAGGUCCGUAGCGAUUCUGACGUGCAAAUCGAUCGUCGAAC